AGCGCUGAAUUGGGCUCAGGAGGGGGUACAACGGAUUGAGAAGUAUUGCUCAGGUCAUAUCCGUUUGGGCCUGAGGCCCAACCACUCAUAUAAGGCUCAGGAAGGCUCACAAGUUAAAUCAACUGAAACAAAUAAGGGGAUAGAAACACUCAUGAAAACACAUUCAUCGCUGAAAUAACUUCUACGAACAAAACCAGGUCGCAUUCUUCAAUCGACUCGAAUCGCGUCUUAACAUCAACACCACUGUGAUUUUGGGAUCAACAACAUGGAGGCGCGUCUUCGCAUCGUUGAAAUCGGCGCUUUCUUGCUCUCAUCUCGAAUAUCAAGAGGAAUUCAAAUCCAAAAUCAAAUCUUAAUCACCAUCACCAAAGUUCUGCUCAAUCUGGAUUCAUCUUUAUCUUCACCAAAUCAGAAUCGUGGAAUCCAUACCGAAGGCGAAUCAUACCCGUGCGCGACAUUGAACGACAUCAUGAAGUUCAAUGUGAUAAGAUAAGAAAGGGCAGAAGACCUACCCAAUCACUCUGAUGCAGUUUCUCCGGCGAAGAUGAUGGAUUGGAGAAGACGAGCUUGAAUCAGAUUUGAAAGUCAGAUUGCUUGUGGAAUGUCAAUUGGGCUUAAGGAUGACGUGCUAGUGCAAGUAUGUAAGGUUAAUUUGGUCAGAUCUCAUUAGUUUCUUAACAGACUUUGGAAAGUGUAUCGAUAAAUGUCAGAGAUUACAAGUAAGGGGUUGGAUACACAAAGGGAAGGGAUUAGCACCCAAAGUGUCCUAGAUACUCCUAGGGAUCCCUUUUUGUGUGCAACUGUUUUAGUUAAAAAAUAUGUUUGUUAAAAAAUAGAAUAAGGGGAUGGGAAAAGAAUGCAUUAUUUAUAUUUUAUGUU